ACGGAAGGCAGCAGUGGGGAAUAUUGCACAAUGGGCGAAAGCCUGAUGCAGCAACGCCGCGUGAAGGACGACGUAUUUCGGUAUGUAAACUUCUAUCAGCAGGGAAGAUAAUGACGGUACCUGACUAAGAAGCCCCGGCUAACUACGUGCCAGCAGCCGCGGUAAUACGUAGGGGGCAAGCGUUAUCCGGAUUUACUGGGUGUAAAGGGAGCGUAGGCGGCCAUGCAAGUCAGAAGUGAAAGCCCGGGGCUCAACUCCGGGACUGCUUUUGAAACUGUAAGGCUGGAUUUCAGGAGAGGUAAGCGGAAUUCCUAGUGUAGCGGUGAAAUGCGUAGAUAUUAGGAGGAACACCAGUGGCGAAGGCGGCUUACUGGACUGAUAAUGACGCUGAGGCUCGAAAGCGUGGGGAGCAAACAGGAUUAGAUACCCUGGUA
rnacentral:rRNA from 1 species